rnacentral:rRNA from 1 species
ACUGCGAAUGGCUCAUUAAAUCAGUUAUCGUUUAUUUGAUAGUACCUUACUACAUGGAUAACCGUGGUAAUUCUAGAGCUAAUACAUGCUAAAAACCUCGACUUCGGAAGGGGUGUAUUUAUUAGAUAAAAAACCAAUGCCCUUCGGGGCUCCUUGGUGAAUCAUAAUAACUUAACGAAUCGCAUGGCCUUGCGCCGGCGAUGGUUCAUUCAAAUUUCUGCCCUAUCAACUUUCGAUGGUAGGAUAGUGGCCUACCAUGGUAUCAACGGGUAACGGGGAAUUAGGGUUCGACUCCGGAGAGGGAGCCUGAGAAACGGCUACCACAUCCAAGGAAGGCAGCAGGCGCGCAAAUUACCCAAUCCCGACACGGGGAGGUAGUGACAAUAAAUACUGAUACAGGGCUCUUUUGGGUCUUGUAAUUGGAAUGAGUACAAUUUAAAUCCCUUAACGAGGAACAAUUGGAGGGCAAGUCUGGUGCCAGCAGCCGCGGUAAUUCCAGCUCCAAUAGCGUAUAUUAAAGUUGUUGCAGUUAAAAAGCUCGUAGUUGAACCUUGGGCCUGGCUGGCCGGUCCGCCUCACCGCGUGUACUGGUCCGGCCGGGCCUUUCCUUCUGGGGAACCUCAUGCCCUUCACUGGGCGUGUUGGGGAACCAGGACUUUUACUUUGAAAAAAUUAGAGUGUUCAAAGCAGGCCUUUGCUCG